rnacentral:misc_RNA from 1 species
GAUGAAUAACGCAGCGAAAUGCGAUAAGUAAUGUGAAUUGCAGAAUUCAGUGAACCAUCGAAUCUUUGAACGCACAUUGCGCCCGGCAGUAAUCUGCCGGGCAUGCCUGUCCGAGCGUCAUUUCUCCCCUCGAGCGCAGCUUUCCCCCCCGGGGGAGGGCCGCGCCCGGUGUUGGGGCGCUACGGAGGAGCCCAGCGCUCCCCCGUAGGCCCCGAAAUGUAGUGGCGGUCCCGCCGCGGCGCCCCCUGCGUAGUAGUUUUACAACUCGCAUCGGGUCCCGGCGGAGGCCAGCCGUCAAACCCCCCAACUUCAAUAGUUUGACCUCGGAUCAGGUAGGGUUACCCGCUGAACUUAAGCAUAUCAAUAAGCGGAGGA